AUUCCCCCGAGGGAUGUUCACGCUUUGGACAGCUGACAAAAGCUGUGGCAACGCUUCGUAAAUGUACGCAGCAUGAGGAAAGGGCAAUAAAUACAAUAAAGGCAAAGCGACAUCGCUAUAAAAGCCAUCGCCGCUGAAGCUGCAAACGGAUAAGGACCUUGCGACCGGUUGGUUUUUCCCUGCUCGCUUACUGUGUGUUGACGACCGGCAAGCACACUCGCACGCCCUCUGCGAGAAUGAAGACUUCUACGCUCAUCGUUCUGCUGGUGGUAGGCGCCUGCCUCGUUGCGAGCAUCGACGCCCUGGCGGCUUCGCCCAACGCGAGGGCAAAGAGGAGCGACUGUGUCUAUGAAGAGUGCACCGACGAAGAGUGCGCUGCGCGUGGAAUGCAGUGCAGGCGGAAGGGGUGCGGAGGUUCCCACUGCGUGUAGCUGAUGCAUUCGUCAUUGUGGGCGUAAUGGCGCAGCAAUUCACCGUGUCAAGAGUUCAUGGUUCCUUCGACUCAAAUGGAGCUUAAGGGAAGCAAUAAAGAAUGGCAAAUGGGAUGACUGCAAAUUUGAUAUGACGCCGUGCGCAGAUUCAACUGCUGAUGAAAAAUUAAAAUUUAUCAAAACGAAAA